UACGUGAGGGCGCAAGCGUUGUCCGGAAUUAUUGGGCGUAAAGAGCUCGUAGGCGGUUUGUCACGUCGGGUGUGAAAGCCCGGGGCUUAACCCCGGGUCUGCAUUCGAUACGGGCAGACUAGAGUGUGGUAGGGGAGAUCGGAAUUCCUGGUGUAGCGGUGAAAUGCGCAGAUAUCAGGAGGAACACCGAUGGCGAAGGCAGGUCUCUGGGCAUUAACUGACGCUGAGGAGCGAAAGCAUGGGGAGCGAACAGG
rnacentral:rRNA from 1 species